rnacentral:rRNA from 1 species
GACGAACGCUGGCGGCGUGCCUAAUACAUGCAAGUUGAGCGCUGAAGGUUGGUACUUGUACCAACUGGAUGAGCAGCGAACGGGUGAGUAACGCGUGGGGAAUCUGCCUUUGAGCAGGGGACAACAUUUGGAAACGAAUGCUAAUACCGCAUAAAAACUUUAAACACAAGUUUUAAGUUUGAAAGAUGCAAUUGCAUCACUCAAAGAUGAUCCCGCGUUGUAUUAGCUAGUUGGUGAGGUAAAGGCUCACCAAGGCGAUGAUACAUAGCCGACCUGAGAGGGUGAGCGGCCACAUUGGGACUGAGACACGGCCCAAACUCCUACGGGAGGCAGCAGUAGGGAAUCUUCGGCAAUGGACGAAAGUCUGACCGAGCAACGCCGCGUGAGUGAAGAAGGUUGUCGGAUCGUAAAACUCGGUUGGUAGAGAAGAACGUUGGUGAGAGUGGAAAGCUCACAAAGUGACGGUAACUACACAGAAAGGGACGGCUAACUACGUG